rnacentral:lncRNA from 1 species
CUGACGGCCAAACGUUUCCUAGACGUUGUCGUUACUGAUAAGAAACUACAUUUCCCAGAAUGCAGUGAGGGUAGCGACCGGGCUACACAGUAGAAACAGGGUUUCACCAUGUUGGCCAUGCUGGUCUCGAACUCCAGAACUCAAGUGAUCCGUCCGCCUCGGUCUUCCAAACUGCUGGGAUUACAGGCGUGAGCCACCGCGCCCAGCCUUUGGGGAAGUUCUUUUUACCGUCCAUCAUCCAUUGCCACCACACCUUCUGCUUACGAGUUAUUUAUAAUAAGUUUAACUAAAAGAGAACGAGAGAACAUCCCCUGAAACCCAAAGUUUGUCAUUCUAUACAGCUUUCCUGCCUGCAAAAGAGGAGGAGCAGACUCAUCCAGCAAAUCACCUAAAAAGUUUGAAGAUCAAAAAGCCUAGCUCCAGUUUCAGAUCCUUCCCCUACCUUUCUGAACACUAGUUUCUUCCUCUGAAAAACGAAAGAGGGAACGGGACCGUAGAGUGGAGUGGGCACAAGAAUCGCAAGUCCCUUCUGGCUAUGACGCUGCAAGACUCUAGGUACAGUUUAGGACUCCGGGCAUUCAGAUCCCCGGGACUUGUCAAGUUCUCCUCAUUGACAUUUUUGAUAUUUCGUGACAACACAAAUUCAUCACAUUUUUGUGCUGUGUGUUAUAUGUGGGAAGGAGAUUUUAAAAAGAUUGCCUUUUGAAGUUAUUGGAUAGCUGUGUUACAGAAGAAAACAUUGCCUUCAAGAAGUUAUUGGAUAGAUAUGUUACAGAAGAAAAGACGUUUGUUUCAUUUUUGACUUUGCAGGAAAAGAAUAUGUAACACAUCAGAAUUCUUCUCUCCUCCCUGGCCUUAGUCGAGUACCUGAGGGGCAUUAAAGCACUUCCUCCUUGCAAUCACUUACCCAGCAUAGUCCUUAAUACAGAUAUCUUCAUUGUUGAAUGAAUGAAUGAAUGUUCAUUAUGUUUGAUUACCUUAGGUUUACUUUCCAAAAGUGUCUUACUUGAGGAAGACCACAUCUACACAAAAAAAUCAAACUUUAAAACAGAGUAAGAGACCAUUCACACUACAAAUAGAUUCUCGGUUUAUAAAAGAUGUGUUAUAGUGCUCCCAUAAAUAGUGAGGCACUCUUCUGUAUCAGAUGGCACAAAUUUGAUUACAUAUAACUACUAAGUGCUUUUCCGUGGUCUGUGGUUCAUAGUGUGGGUGCCUGUGGUAUGCUAAGGUCUCUAUUUUACUGACAGCCACAGUUAAAAUAUAUUUCUUAAAACCAAAUAAACAGUCCACCAUCACCAGCCAAAUGCUAGGAGAGUGCUGACUGCUAUUUUAGCUGCUUUCUUCUAGGCAGAAUGAAAAGAAAAACAUAAGUUAA